CCAGUGGACACGUCAAGAAGCCAAAGUCAGACGCUAUCAACUAAAUGAGUCAGACAAACAUCUGACCUUCUGCUUUGGUAGUCAGUGGGGGGGCACACGUUGGCUCCUAUAAUUAAAACCAGUCUGUCAUCAAGGAAAGGUGUGUGUGUGUGUGUGUGUGUGUGUGUGUGUGUGUGU